rnacentral:rRNA from 1 species
CAAAGGAGUGAUCCGGCAGAGGAUGGACAUGCGGCGCAUUAGCUAGUCGGCGGGGUAACGGCCCACCGAGGCUACGAUGCGUAGGGGUUCUGAGAGGAAGGUCCCCCACACUGGUACUGAGACACGGACCAGACUCCUACGGGAGGCAGCAGUGAGGAAUAUUGGUCAAUGGGCGGAAGCCUGAACCAGCCAAGUCGCGUGAGGGAAGACGGUCCUAUGGAUUGUAAACCUCUUUUGCAGGGGAGCAAGGCGCGGUACGUGUACCGCGAAGGAGAGUACCCUGAGAAAAAGCAUCGGCUAACUCCGUGCCAGCAGCCGCGGUAAUACGGAGGAUGCGAGCGUUAUCCGGAUUUAUUGGGUUUAAAGGGUGCGCAGGCGGACUGUUAAGUCAGCGGUAAAAUGUCGGUGCUCAACACCGGCCGGCCGUUGAAACUGGCAGCCUUGAGUGAGCGAGAAGUAUGCGGAAUGCGUGGUGUAGCGGUGAAAUGCAUAGAUAUCACGCAGAACUCCGAUUGCGAAGGCAGCAUACCGGCGCUCAACUGACGCUCAGGCACGAAAGCGUGGGUAUCGAACAGGCUUAGAUACCCUGGUAGUCCACGCAGUAAACGAUGAAUGCUCACUGUCCGG